UUGGGUAAUCCUUGCCUCCUACCCUCCUGCCUCCCACCACCGUUUCUUCUCCACAAGCGCUUCCCCUCGAUCCGCUGACCUCGGACCUCCCUCAUCUAGUCAUCAAGGCCGCUCCAACACCAGAUUACUCGGGCAACCUUCGAGAUUGCCUCCUCAAUUUAUUCAAUCAGCAUGCGUACAGUGGAAUUCAUCAGCAUGCGUUGCAUUGGAGAUGCAUGAGGAGAAUCGAGCUCCCUACCCCUUUUUGCUGCAGAGGCAGGUAUAUGGCAAAUGUGGCGUCAAAAAAGGUUUGUCCAUUACCUAACCAAAAAUCAGUUCAAGAAGGUUCACAAGUGUUGCUCCAGUGAUAAUGAUGUCGUGAUACUGUGCCGCAUAUUAGGAUGAGCAAUCAUUGGUCCAUUAAUUCAAACCUCGAAACACAUAGUGGCAACAACAUGAAGAUAAUGUAGGUGCACCGUGCAUGGCCAUUAUCUUGAUGGCGAAGCAAUAAAGCACUUUGCUUAUUUACUGUAUCAUCUGUAGUUAUUAGAUCUCUGAGCUAUUUCCUUGAGUAGCUAUACUCAUUAAUCUGUUGUCUAUUGUGACCUUAUUUUCCAAGAUCGUAAAGUUUUCGUGCAUUGGUAGGAAACAGAAAAUUUGGUGGUCAAAACUUUAAAAAGACCGG